GGUAAUCAGGAAACUUCGAACAACUCUACUCUACUGACUACUCUCGUUUAGCGAGAAAAAAAAAAAGAAAAAAGAAAAAAGAACUCUGCUCUCUGAACAGAACUUUCACAAUUUCUCUACUGUACUGGCAUCUCUCUUUUCCUCAAUCCCACCAUUGUUUUCCUCUUCAUUUAGUUUUCUCUCUCUAUUUUCUUUCUCAAACUGAGCACCCAGAAAAAAAAAAAAAAAAAAAAUUCUGCAACCAAUUUUUGAGUCUCUUCAUCUCCUGGACCUGACAACGUGAUCUGCAUCCUCAAGUAUAUUUCCAAUGGCCUCUAUGAGCACGGAAAAAGCCUCAUCUUCAUUAUCAUUUUCUUCAAUACCACAAUGGAAAUACGAUGUCUUUCUUAGUUUUAGAGGUGAGGACACCCUCUAUAGUUUCAAGGAUCGUCUAUAUGAUGCCUUGAAACAAAAGGACAUUUUCACCUUUAAAGACAAAGGAAAACUUGGGAAAGGAAAAUCGAUUUCACCGGAGCACUUGAAAGCAAUAGAAGAAUCAAGAUUUGUCAUUGUCAUUUUUUCAAAAAACUAUGCGUCUUCAACAUGGUGUCUAGAUGAACUUGCAAAGGUCACAAGAUGCAUGAAAAAGACGGGAAUGACAAUUCUACCUGUUUUUUAUAAUGUUGAUCCAUCUGAUGUACGAGAACAAACAGGAACUUUUGCAAAAGCUUUUCUUGAACAUGAAGAACAUUUCAAGGAGAACAUAGAGAAGGUGCAAACAUGGAGAGCAGCAUUAAGAGAAGUAGCCAAUCUCGCCAGUUGGCAUUUACAAAACGAGACUGAGACCAAAUUUAUCCAAAACAUUGUGAGACUGAUAUUAAAUAAAUUGAGUGGCACAUUUUUAGUAGAUACUAACGGACUAGUAGGAAUAAAUCUCCGAGUUGAGAAAUUGAAGUCACAUUUAGCCAUGGAGUCAAAUGAUGUUCGCAUUAUAGGAAUUUGUGGGACGGGAGGAAUGAGUAAGACAACUCUUGCUAGAGUUGUUUAUGGUAUGAUUUCCAAUCAAUUUGAAGCUUGUUGUUUUAUUGCUAAUGUCAGGGAAGUUUUUAAAAAAUAUGGUUUACUUUGGUUACAACAAACACUUUUGAAUGAACUUUUGAUGCAUAAUGAUAUGAAUGUACAAGGUGUUGAUUGUGGAGUUCUCAUCAAGAAUAGGUUACGUCACAAAAAGAUUUUUCUCAUUCUUGAUGAUGUAAAUGAAUUAGACCAACUGAACAAAUUAGUUGGGGGACAUGAUUGGUUUGGUCCAGGUAGUAGAAUUAUCAUAACAACAAGAGAUGUGCAUUUGCUAAUGACAAGGAAAGUAGAUGGAAUAUAUGAGAUUGAAGGAUUGAAUUAUGAUGAAGCUUUUCAACUCUUUAAUUUGAAAGCUUUUGGAAAAGAGCAUCCUACCACAGAUUAUCUAGAGUUGUCCCAAGCCUUCGUACAUUAUGCUAGUGGUCUUCCUUUAGCCAUUGAGGUUUUGGGUUCCUUUUUGUUCAAGAGACGUAUAGAUGAAUGGCAAAGUGCAUUAGAUAGACUCGAAAAAUUUCCCGAAAGAAAAAUUCUUAAUGUGCUUCAAAUAAGCUAUGAUGGACUUCAAGAAACAGAGAAGGAAAUUUUCCUGGAUAAUGCAUGCUUCUUUAAUCACAUGAGUCGAGAUUUUAUCAUAGAAAUAGUAGAUCAUCUUGAGCUUCUCCCUAAAAUUGAAUUAAGGGUUCUUAAUGAAAAAUCUCUCAUAAAAUUCCAUGACAAACAAUUGUGGAUGCAUGAUUUACUACAACAAAUGGGUCGAGACAUAGUUUGUCACGAGUGCUCUAAAGAUCCUGGGAAGCGUAGUAGAUUAUGGGUGUAUAAAGACAUUGAUGAUGUGCUAACAAAAAAAAUGGGGACAGAGACAGUUCAAAGCAUAGUAUUAGAGCUGUCUGAACCGAAAAAGGUAUAUUGGGAUCGUGAAGCCUUUUCAAAGAUGAAAUGUCUAAAGUUGCUCCAAAUUCAUCAUGUUCAACUAAUGCAUGAUCCCAAACAUCUUCCUAAUAGCUUAAGAUUUCUUGAUUGGAGUGAGUACCCUUCAAAAUCUUUGCCAUCAAGUUUCCAAUCAAAUGAACUUGUUAAACUUCGCUUGAAUUGCAGUAACAUCGAACGACUUUGGAAAGGAACAAAGUCUUUUGAGAGGUUGAAAUUCAUCGAAUUGAACAAGUCCCUAAAACUUAUUGAAACCCCAGAUAUCACGGAAGUCCCAGUUCUUGAGAAAUUGAUUCUUGAAGAUUGCGUAAAAUUAUGUGAGAUACAUCCAUCAGUUGGAGUUCAUGAAAGGCUUACUCUUCUUAAUUUAAAAGGUUGCAAAAGCCUCAAAAUUCUUCCAAACAAAUUUGAAAUGAAGUCUCUUGACAUUCUUAUUCUUUCAGGAUGCUUAAAACUAAAAAGAAUUCCAGAGUUUGCAAAAAACAUGGGAUGUGUAUCUGGGCUUUACUUGGAUGGCAUUGCUAUUACAAAAUUACCCACCUCAAUUGGGAAUUUGACUAGACUUGCUUCAUUGAGUGUAAGAGAUUGCAAAAAUCUUAUGUCACUUCCUCUAACUCUUUUUAAUAUGGAGUCACUUGUAAAUGUCAAUUUUUCUGGAUGCUCAAAACUUUGUAAACUACUAGAGAAUUUGGGGACUACUGAAAGUGUAGAAGAGCUUGAUGUGGGUGGAAGUGCUAUAAGAAUGAUGCGUUCUUCCAAUGCUUUCUUCAAAACUCUUAAAAAACUAGCUUUUGGUGGAUUUAAGUUGAGGAAUCCCGAUCCCAUGGGCUCGUUAUCAACUUCACUAUUGCGUUCGUGUUCUUUGAUCGAUUUGGAUAUAAGUUAUUGCAAUCUAAAUGCAAUCCCCAAUGACAUUUGCUGCUUAUCCUCCUUAAAACAUUUAGAUUUAAGUGGAAAUAAUUUUGGUUGCUUACCGGAAAGCAUUGCUCAACUAUCUAUUCUAAAAUCUUUGAGUGUAAAGAAUUGCACAAGCCUUCUAUCAUUGCCGAAACUUCCAUUAAAUAUUGAUUGUAUUUGGGGAUUUGGUUGUACCUCACUGGACACAGUACCAAAUCUAUUGAAACCAAAUUCUUUAUGUGAGGCAGAACUUUGGCUUUCAGGUUGCAGUAAACUGGUUGACAAUCAAGGCUUCAUUGACAUGUUUCUUGCAAUGAUAAAAAAGAACCUUCAGGUCUCUCUCUCUCUCUCUUUGUGCGUGUGCACACGCGCUCUAAACAACAUGCCUUGUAUGUUUCAGGGACACUCUAUUGCAUAUAGAUACGGAAUGGUUAUUCCUGGAAGUGAAAUUCCAGAGUGGUUUUGUCAUCAAAGUAUGGGGGCUGAAGUGAACAUAAAACAACCUUCUCAUUUAUGUUAUGAUGAGUGGGUGGGAAUUGCUUUUUGUGUUGUGAUUUGUUCUCAUAACCAAAUGGUUGAUCCUUUUCUAUUUGGUAGUCAAAUUUGCUUUGAAUUGAUAGCCAAUGGAGAACAUAUAUAUCCUCCAGUUGGCACAAGGGUGGCUAAGGUUUCAUCAGAUCAUCUUUGGUUACUCUAUUUGUUUCCUAAAUUUUUCGGAGAAGAAGAUUUGAUAAAAUUAUUGUGGGGAUGUGAUGAGAAUGGAUUCAUUAAGAUUGGCAUUCACUUUAGAGCUCGUGACUUUGAGAUGAAGAAAUGGGGGUUGCGUAGGGUAUACAAGAAAGACAUCGAAGAUCACAACCAAACAAUGGCUCAAAGUAGCAACAAUAACAUCAUUCCUUAUAAGGGCUUGGAUGUUUUCCGUCAUAAUUUUGUCAAUUUGGCAGUGGUAGCGAAAGGUAGCAAAGCCAAGCGAAGUCGUGAUGACUAUGAUGGGACUACACCUAGUGGAGAAGGAAGCUCUGAUGACAUACCACACCCAAAAAGAAUUGAAAGAGUCCCUGAAUUUAUGGCCCUUGGUAAUUCUGAUUGUGAGGAGUCAAGUGAGUACAUGGAAUGUUGUGAGGAAUUAAGUGAUUGCCAGGAAUCUAGUGAAAGUGACCGGGAAGCUUAAUGGAAUUUGAAAAAUGGGUUCAAAUUCUCUGGGCCUAUUUGGUUGAAAAAGGAUACUGGCUGUUGCAUGCUAGGCAUUGUAGAACCCAAGCUGGAAGCUCUGUUAUUCGUCUCACUGACACAACCUUAAGUGAAGACCCUGAGCUCUGGAACCAGUUACGUGUGCUACAAUUUCCUUCUAAAAUGAUCAUCUUUCUUUGGAGGAUUAUAUUGAAUGCUCAUCUUGUGAGGGCAGAAUUGAGAAGACAAAUCAGAACUGAGGAAUUAUAUGCUCUUUUGUGUCCAAGAUACACUAUAGGGCAUAUUUUUUUUCUCGACAUCUAGAGCAAUCUGGUCUGGUUCAAUCUUUCCAGUAAAACUAAUUUCAUUGAGCCUUACUCGAUUCAGGCAUGGAUCAAAAGCUGGCUGACAGGCAUUAGGGGGAAUUUAGAGAACAUAAAGGUAGCUAACAGUUUCGA